AAAUGCCUAAGGAUGAGUUGGCGGCGGAUUAGGUUGUUGGUGGGGUAAUGGCCUACCAAGCCUUUGAUCCGUAGGGGCUUUGAGAGAGGUAGCCCCGAGAAGGGCACUGAGAUACUGGCCCUAACCCUACGGGGUGCAGCAGGCGCGAAACCUUUACAAUGCACGAAAGUGUGAUAAGGGAAUUCCAAGUGCUUAUGCAAUGCAUAGGCUUUUUUCAAGAGUAAAUAUCUUGAAGAAUAAGGGGUGGGAAAGACUGGUGCCAGCCGCCGCGGUAACACCAGCGCCUCAAGUGGCAGCCACGUUUAUUGGGCCUGAAGCGUCCGUAGCCGGCUUAACAAACCUUUUGUGAAAUUGUUGGGCUUAACCUAACAGCGUGCGGGAGACACUGUUAAGCUAGGAACCGGGAGGAGUCAGAAGUAUUCCUUGGGGAGCGGUAAAAUGCUAUAAUCCUUGGAGGACUACCUGUGGCGAAGGCGUCUGACUAGAACGGAUUCGACGGUGAGGGACGAAAGCCAGGGGAGCGAACCGGAUUAGAUACCCGAGUAGUCCUGGCCGUAAACGCUGUGAGCUAGGUGUUACACAUUUUACAUGAAUGUGUUGUGUCGAAAUGAAGAUGUUAAGCUCACCGCCUGGGAAGUACAGUCGCAAGACCGAAACUUAGAGGAAUUGGCGGGGGAGCACCACAAGGGGUGCGGCGUGCGGUUUAAUCUAACUCAACGCAGAAAAUCUCACCAUGGGCGACGGCAGGAUGAAAGUCAGGCUAAAGGUCUUACUUGACAAGCCGAGAGGUGGUGCAUGGCCGCCGUCAGCUCGUGCCGCAAGGUGUCCUGUUAAGUCAGGUAACGAGCGAGACCUGUACCUACAAUUGCUAGCGACCAAUUCUUGGGAUCGAGCACUAUGUGGGGACUGCCUUGGAAACAAGGAGGAAGGUGCAGGCUACGGUAGGUCUGUAUGCCCCGAAUCUCAUGGGCUACACGCGCGCAACAAUGGUUGGGACAAUGGGACACAACUCCGAAAGGAGAAGUUAAACCUCUAAACCCAAUCUUAGUCCAGAUUGAGGAUUGUAACUCAUCCUCAUGACGAUGGAAUCCCUAGUAAUCGGAUCUCACUAUGGUCCGGUGAAUAUGUCCCUGCUCCUUGUACACACCGCCCGUCAAACCACUCGAGUAGGGUUUGGAUGAGGAUUAGACUUUUAUCUAAUACGAAUCUAAGCUCAGCGAGAUGGGUUAAGUCGUCACAAGGUA
rnacentral:rRNA from 1 species